rnacentral:lncRNA from 12 species
AUAGUAAAGGAGGAUAGACUCAGAGUUGGGAGAUGUAAGGGGAUGGUAAGAUGUAAUCACGUUGUCUAUGUUACUGAGCUCCCUCUGAGGCCAGUUUAACCCUGGACUUCCCCAUUACUGGACCCAAAUGUUCCAGUGUAAUGUAACCAAUUUAAGUUUACUUUCUGUCAUUUGUAAUCAACAGAGUACCAGCCAUUUAUCUAGCAAUGUGCUUAGUGCCUUGAGGACAUAAAGGUGUAAAUGGUUAGGAUGAGAGGCCAUGAAGAUGGAGAUAAAGGGUGUUCCAGUAAACUUUCUGAAAGAGGGCUUUAUAGAUGGAAGAAAUUUACUGAGGUAUGCUCCUCCCAUACUAACAGUUAUGAGACAGAAAGAAGAGAACUUGGGGAGUCCAUAAAAGUUGAUGUAGAAGACUGAAGGAUGUGAUCAUUUCCCAAAGCGGAGGACGUCCUGACAGGGCAACUGUAGCAGGUACCCCUGGUAUUCAUAAUCUGCGCUAGGAACUCACUUGCUGGUGGGUUAUGUCUGUGAGAUAAGGCAUGGCUGGACAAUAAAAGGCCACUGGGCUUCCA